CGGCGCCGUGCUUUGCCCGCUGCCUCUCAUUUUCGUUUUCGCCACCGUGGGCCAUUCGGGUAGCCCCUUCCCGAUUGGGAAAAAGAAGUUGGCAUCGAAUGGUGCCUCUUCCGGAAUGGAAAAAGUUCUGGGUGUCUAUGUGUUUUUUCACAUACACAAGUUAAAUGUCUAUAGAAUGAAAUUGUAGGCUUUUGUCAGCCUUUUAAAUGAUCCCAUACAACUUUCAACACACGGAUCUCUUGGCUCUCGCAUCGAUGAAGAACGCAGCGAAAUGCGAUAAGUAAUGUGAAUUGCAGAAUUCAGUGAAUCAGUCGAAUCUUUGGACGCAUCUUGCGCUCCUUGGUAUUCCGAGGAGCAUGCCUGUUUGAGUGUCAUUAAAUAUCUCAAAAAGCUUGUGCUUUUUUGGCAUGGGAUUUUUGGACAUUGGGAGUUGCCGGCUGCUGAUAAAGUGGUGGGCUCUUCUGAAAAGCAUUAGUUGAGGAGCUUUGCACUCUAUUGGUGUGAUAAACUAUCUAUGCCAGGAGAAGCUUCAUGAUCCUCUGCUAUCUAAAUGUCUUUAUCAGAGCAUAUAUGAUAAGACUUGACCUCAUAUCAGGUAGGAGCUACCCGCUGAACUUAAGCAUAGUCAAUAAGCGGAGGAAAAGAAACUAACCAGGAUUCCCUUAGUAACUGCGAGUGAAGAGGGAAACAGCUCAAAUCUAAAUCUGGCAGUGUUUCACUGUACCCG
rnacentral:rRNA from 1 species